rnacentral:rRNA from 1 species
AUGUGUCUCUCUGGGAGGAGCGACCUCCCUUUUAUAGGCGCAAGAGAAGAAGGCGAGAGGCUGCGCUGGGAGCUGAAGAGAACGAGGGAGACGAAACGAACAGGCAGCAGGCGAAGAGGUGCGCCGUUCGUAUUCAAUCUCCACUACAACAAAACGUUUCAGCUUUUGCGUGCCCUUUCGUAUACCCGUAGUGCGUGGCAAAAAUUUACAUCAGCUUGGCUCAUUCCCGCGGCGCGGCGCGUCAUGACGAGGCGUGGCGUGGCGUGGCGUGGCGAGGCGGGCGGCGGAGGAGGAGCGCGUGUGGAUGUCCCUCUUGUUCUCAUGCUCAUACAAGUGGGGAAGGAGCCUUCCUUAUAA